rnacentral:rRNA from 1 species
UAGGAAUCUCCACAAUGGACGCAAGUCUGAUGGAGCAACGCCGCGUGAGUGAAGAAGGUUUUCGGACCGUAAAGCUCUGUUGUUGGUGAAGAAGGAUAGAGGUAGUAACUGGCCUUUAUUUGACGGUAAUCAACCAGAAAGUCACGGCUAACUACGUGCCAGCAGCCGCGGUAAUCGUAGGUGGCAAGCGUUGUCCGGAUUUAUUGGGCGUAAAGCGAGCGCAGGCGGAAGAAUAAGUCUGAUGUGAAAGCCCUCGGCUUAACCGAGGAAUUGCAUCGGAAACUGUUUUUCUUGAGUGCAGAAGAGGAGAGUAGAACUCCAUGUGUAGCGGUGGAAUGCGUAGAUAUAUGGAAGAAUACCAGUGGCGAAGGCGGCUCUCUGGUCUGCAACUGACGCUGAGGCUCGAAAGCAUGGGUAGCGAACAGGAUUAGAUACCCUGGUAGUCCAUGCCGUAAACGAUGAGUGCUAAGUGUUGGGAGGCUUCCGCCUCUCAGUGCUGCAGCUAACGCAUUAAGCACUCCGCCUGGGGGAGUACGACCGCAAGGUUGAAAC